AGUGAACGCUGGCGGCGUGCCUAACACAUGCAAGUCGAACGAGAACGGGUUUAAGUUUACUUAAACUGUCAGCUAAGUGGCGCACGGGUGAGUAAGAUAUAGUUAACCUGCCCUCUAGAAAGGAAUAACAGUUAGAAAUGACUGCUAAUGCCUUAUAUGCCUUUUUAACAUAAGUUAGUAAAGGGAAAUGCUUUAGUGCUAGAGGAUGGGACUGUAUAGUAUCAGAUAGUUGGUGGGGUAAUGGCCUACCAAGUCAAUGACGCUUAACUGGUUUGAGAGGAUGAUCAGUCACACUGGAACUGAGACACGGUCCAGACUCCUACGGGAGGCAGCAGUGGGGAAUAUUGCACAAUGGACGAAAGUCUGAUGCAGCAACGCCGCGUGGAGGAUGACACAUUUCGGUGCGUAAACUCCUUUUAUAUAGGAAGAUAAUGACGGUACUAUAUGAAUAAGCACCGGCUAGCUCCGUGCCAGCAGCCGCGGUAAUACGGAGGGUGCAAACGUUACUCGGAAUCACUGGGCGUAAAGAGCAUGUAGGCGGAUUGAUAAGUUUGAAGUGAAAUCCUAUAGCUUAACUAUAGAACUGCUUUGAAAACUGUUAAUCUAGAAUAUGGGAGAGGUAGAUGGAAUUUCUGGUGUAGGGGUAAAAUCCGUAGAGAUCAGAAGGAAUACCGAUUGCGAAGGCGAUCUACUGGAACAUUAUUGACGCUCAGAUGCGAAAGCGUGGGGAGCAAACAGG
rnacentral:rRNA from 1 species